UACGUAGGGGGCAAGCGUUAUCCGGAUUUACUGGGUGUAAAGGGAGCGUAGACGGCAAUGCAAGUCUGGAGUGAAAGGCGGGGGCUCAACCCCCGGACUGCUCUGGAAACUGUACGGCUGGAGUGCAGGAGAGGUAAGUGGAAUUCCUAGUGUAGCGGUGAAAUGCGUAGAUAUUAGGAGGAACACCAGUGGCGAAGGCGGCUUACUGGACUGUAACUGACGUUGAGGCUCGAAAGCGUGGGGAGCAAACAGG
rnacentral:rRNA from 1 species